rnacentral:lncRNA from 1 species
AGGAGCAUAUGUAGCCGGUGUUUGUGUCAUAGUCACUAUUUUUGGUCAUCAAAAUGAAUUAUCUUAUGAACUUCUGGUUCAUAUUCUUUAUUUUGAGGAUCAAGAUGAGGCAAUGAUAAUUCAUUCUUAUACUUCUAUUUUCACCGGCUAUUUAUUUUCUCCCCCUGAUUUUGAGAAAACAACUCAUCAAGUCAUAACAAAUACAUAUUGAUGAUUCCAAAUGCACUCAUAUGUAAUAUAUGAAUCGAUCUUACUAACGUGGUGGAAAAUCUAUGAUGAUCAAAUAAUUUAUUUAUGAUGGGGGGAGAUUAAUAACAAUUGUUUAUAUGAUGCGAAUCGAUAAAUAUGUGAUACAAAAUACUCAACAAUUAUUAUGGACGAGAUAAUACUCGUUAUGAGAUUCACCAGCAUUAUAAGCAUAUAUUCCAAAUAACAAAGCUUGCAUACUUCAGGAUGCAAGUUGAUAAUAACUUCGUAUAUUUUUCACAUGUCUCAUAUAUUGAUGAUUCCAAAUGCACUCAUAUGUAAUAUAUGAAUCGAUCUUACUAACGUGGUGGAAAAUCUAUGAUGAUCAAAUAAUUUAUGUAUGAUGGGGGGAGAUUAAUAACAAUUGUUUAUAUGAUGCGAAUCGAUAAAUAUGUGAUACAAAAUACUCAACAAUUAUUAUGGACGAGAUAACACUCGUUAUGAGAUUCACCAGCAUUAUAAGCAUAUAUUCC